GAAGGUUGUCUGGGGGAUCCUCUAAGCUGGAAGGCUAAUUGGGCAAAAGGGGCCAGCGGAAGGUGGAGCUGGUUAAGGCCCUACAGUUGGCCUAAAUCACAUCUCCACUCUGAUGGAGAAAAGCUCUAGAAACUCCUGUCUUGAGGAGUGAGUCUCUGCAGUCUUGCAUCACAACUCCUGUCCUGUGGCGUGAACUAACUGCCCAACCGUACCCUGAGCUCUACAGAAGAGAACUGGAUAGACAGCUGUUUGAAAGAGGGAGAAACUGACUGCCUGAAUCAUUGCCUUGGUUCCUGGAGAAGGGCUGGGGGAAACUCCUGCCUUAAGGGGAGAGGCAGAGGGAUUAUCUGAAAUACAGCCCAGCUUUGAGGCAGAUCCUCUAUAGCUAGCUGGGAAAAAGCUAAGAGGAGCAGCAGGUCCAUGGUAGGAAAAACCGUGCUUAUAAAUCUGUGGAGAGUGCUGACAAGCCGGGAAAGAGAGGAGCAGCCCAGGGAAGUGGUGAUUGAAGAUGAGUAUUCAGCUGCUUAAAACAGGGUCCCUGGGCUGGCUUCUGCUAUCCCUGCCUGAUAACAAGAAGGGAAGCACAGGAUUCAGGGGUAAAAGAGCCCUAGAAUGAUGAGACCCAGCUGGAGGCUGAGGCCGUGGCAAAGAAGCCGAAAGACUAUUUCCCUUUUUGGGGGGAACUUUCCUUAACCUCAGAAGGGGACUGGACUGUGAGGGACCUUGCUGCAGGGCUAGGAUACUUAAGUGGAAGACAGUUGUUUAACCAGGAGAAGAUGUGCUAGAACCCCUGGAAUGCCAUAUGCUGAAAUGAGGUGGCUCUCUGGUGGAUGGAACAUACUGAAAUAUAACCCCAUUCCUGACGUAUUUCCAGCUGAACUGUAGCAGAAAAAUCACACCAGAGGGCAUGUUCUCAUGAUGUUUGAAGUCUAAUUUAGAAGAUUCAAGAAGGUAUUAGGAGACAUAAUUUAAGACAGUACUGAAAGGAAAGAUUUAAAGAUCUUCAAGAAAGACAGACAAGGAAAUUUAGUGUACAUAUCAAUAUGACAGUGCUGAUGCCUACAAGAUAUAAUGCUCAGAUAUUAUGAAGUCUUUAAAAGGGCACAAAAGAGAAAAAUAUUACCUGAAUAACUGCAGGCUACAAGUGGCGAUAUCACAGCUAUUGUAAUGGGGAGAGAGAGGAGGCAACAUCAACUUGCAUUAAAAAUGGAGAUAGACAAAAAUAGGACAAGUGUAGAGUUCACUGGAUAAUAUUUUAAUUAAAUACAUAUU